GUAGACUGGCAUCAGUUUAUAAUUAAAGAUUUAUCGGUAAAAGAUGGCUAUGCGUCCUAUUAGUUAGUUGGUAAGGUAACGGCUUACCAAGACAGCGAUAGGUAGGGGUCCUGAGAGGGAGAUCCCCCACACUGGUACUGAGACACGGACCAGACUCCUACGGGAGGCAGCAGUGAGGAAUAUUGGACAAUGGAGGAGACUCUGAUCCAGCCAUGCCGCGUGUAGGAAGAAUGCCCUAUGGGUUGUUAACUACUUUUAUACAG
rnacentral:rRNA from 1 species